rnacentral:rRNA from 1 species
CCUACGGGUGGCAGCAGUGAGGAAUAUUGGUCAAUGGCCGGAAGGCUGAACCAGCCAUGCCGCGUGAAGGUCAGUGCCCUAUGGGCGUUAAACUUCUUUUGUGCGGGAGCAAUAAUGGUCACGUGUGGCCAGACGAGAGUACCGUACGAAUAAGCAUCGGCUAACUCCGUGCCAGCAGCCGCGGUAAUACGGGGGAUGCAAGCGUUAUCCGGAUUUAUUGGGUUUAAAGGGUGCGUAGGCUGUGAGGUAAGUCAGCGGUGAAAUGCCCCGGCUCAACGGGGUGAAGUGCCAUUGAUACUGCCUGGCUGGAAUGCGGAUGCCGUGGGAGGAAUGUGUGGUGUAGCGGUGAAAUGCAUAGAUAUCACACAGAACACCGAUUGCGAAGGCAUCUCACGAAUCCGCGAUUGACGUCGAUGCACGAAAGCGUGGGUAUCAAACAGGAUUAGAUACCCGGGUAGUC